rnacentral:rRNA from 1 species
CAGUCGCCGCGGUAAUACGAAGGGGGCUAGCGUUGUUCGGAAUGACUGGGCGUAAAGGGCGCGUAGGCGGCGGCCAAAGUCAGGCGUGAAAUUCCCGGGCUCAACCUGGGGGCUGCGUUUGAUACUUGGUUGCUUGAGUGGGGAAGAGGGUCGUGGAAUUCCCAGUGUAGAGGUGAAAUUCGUAGAUAUUGGGAAGAACACCAGUGGCGAAGGCGGCUCACUGGACCGACACUGACGCUGAGGCGCGAAAGCGUGGGGAGCAAACAGGAUUAGAGACCCCUGUAGUCCCUGUCUCUUAUAC